AUGCCUGUAACAGAUGUCAAGGUGGAGACGGUCAAGGAUGAGACCAAGAGAGGAAUUAAACAAUCUAAAGAAAAUGGGAAAGGCGGCCGGAUAGGGGGCCACAGACUGCCAGUAAAGGGUGGGGGCCGUGCGGCCCUGGAGGAAAAUCUGGGGGCGGAGCUUAGGGCUGCCCCUAAGAAAGACUACCAGCGAACCCACCGGCUGUGUAGAAGGGACGAAGGUGGCCGGGCACGACAAAACCGGGGAACUCAGAAGAGUCACUGCCCUGAUCCCUUCCGUGCUGGCAGCUGCGAGGACAGAGGCCCCUUUGUAUCCUGCGGUGCGGAGGUGGAGCAGAGGAGAGGGUGCCCCGGACUGGCCCCCACCCUCGCCCUGCAGCGCUGCCCCUCCUUUCACAGCAACCCACGGCCUCCCCCUCGCUUGACCCAGCUGGCGAGCUGCCCCUUAUACCUGGAUCCGCCCCUUGGGACGCAGCUCCCCUGGCCCGAUCACCGAGCGGUGCCUAGGAACUGGGAGCGUAACUCAGCUCGGCUCAGAACCUUACCCGAGAGCCAAAGAAUACUGAACUCAUCUACAUGCUGCUUGACAUCUUAUCUGCAUACCAAGCUAUUUGGUGGACGUCCACAUGCGCCCCCGACUCCCGUUCCGUCGGUGCCCUCCUCUGCACACGGCUCUAGCCUUAUACCUCUCCUUAUUCGGAGACCCUUCUCUGAAACUCUUGGGGUGACUCUCAAGACUCUUACCUGCUAUAUAGUUGGGGGUCUCUGGUCCUGGACUAGAGCAGUAGGCAACCUAGGUCCCCACACACACAGGGGAAAGAGUUGGAGGGGCCUGCCUUGUGAUGUCACCCCCCCUCCACCCACCGCGGACGCGCGGGCGCGCGCGCGCACACACACACACACACACACACACACGCACGCGCAAACACACACGCCCUGUCCCCUUUCUCUACCCCCCAAGCUAGUUGCAUUUAGCUCACAGAGCCUGGGCUGCGACUUGAAAGAGUUUAGGCAGCAACAAACAGAGUGGCCCUGGGGGUGCCCUCGACCGACAGCCGACCCCUCGGCGUCUAGGACCUCCGAGCGGGGAUGCAGCUGGGGGUCUAGGGAAGCACUUCCACCCCCUCCUCCUCAACCCUGGCAGGGUGUGCCCGAAUGCCAGCUCCUCCUUGGUGUUCUCCUUUCAGGAUCUGAAUUCAAAUCCCAUUGGCAGCCCUGAUACCGCUGGGGGAAGGGUUUCCCUAUCCCCUAAAGACAUUCAUGGAUGGAUGAGAGGAGCUGACAUCUCCCCCUCUGUGACCACUUUCUCUUUGGCCCUGGAGGAAGUCUUGCCCCUGGCUGUGACAUCUGACCCCAGGCCCUUUAAUCAACAACUCCCAGAGCCUCCAGACCCAAGAUGUGUUUUGGAACCCCAGGACAAUCCUGAAGUGGCACCUGCCCUGGUGUGUGCCCUUUGCUGCUGCUUUGGAAUCAUCUACUGCUGCUUCGGCUACCGCUGCUUCAAGACAGUGAUGUUUCUCUCCGGUCUGCUGUCGGGAGCUUCCUACUGUGCCACAAGGUGCGGGUGCUGGAGACACAGCUGAGCCUGGAAAUGAGAGUGGGCAUUGCUGUGGUCAUCACCACAGCACUCUCUACAUAGACCACUCCUCUACGGCGUGGUCACCAUGCUGGUUCACUGUGUUGGGCUCUUAUUAACUGGUCUCCUGCUACGCCUGACCUUGGGUGCUGGAGCCCUGCUCUCCACUGAGCCUAUCUACCAACCACCUUCAGCAUGGGUGCCAGCUGGGGGGCUGCGGGGGCCGGCGCUGCUGGGAACCCUGCUCACACUUGGUUGGUCACGUCCAUUCACAGUUCUGGGCACAGCCCUGCUGGGUUCUGCAGUGUUUGUGGCCUAUGCUGACUAAUUCCUGGAGGGGCUGGCACUGGGCAAUCGGCUGGGCCAACGCCUGUAGACACUUCCACCCUUGUCUUCUCUCUGCUGAUAUAGCUGGGUCUUACUGGGGAUUUGGCCAGCCUUGAGGGCCCUUGGGGCCCUGGCCCAGUGGAAGCUUAUGCCUGGGGAACAUGGAGGCCAUACCAGUGCGUUAUUUCCAGAGUCUUCGAGAGUGCCAACUGGGACCAGGACCCCAGGCCACAGCCCCCUACGCCGUCCUGGACCUGGAUUCUGACUGUGGUUCCACUGUACCCCUUACCUGAAUCUCUGGUUCUAACCAGACCUGAGCCUGGACUUCCACUUUUGCCCUCACCCCUGUGAGGGCCUGGGAGCACUGGGUGAACAGGGUUUGAGCCACAGGACCUGCACAUAAACUUCCCCACCUCUUGGACUUGGGGAUAGGAUCUGUGCCUCAACCCAGACCAGCCUUGUAGGAAUAUGUUCCAAGAACAGAGAAGAGUCUUAUGGGGAAGGGGGAAGAAGGGAAGUAUGAAUAGUUACCUCCGACCAAUAAUAGAGGUACCCUGGUCCCCGAAGAAACUGACUACCGAAUUCCCUCCAAGCCUUACCCAUACAGUCUUUUUUUUUUUGAGACAAGGUCUUGUUCUGUCCAGUGCCGUGGCGUGAUCAUAGCUCAUGACAACCUUGACUUCCCCGGCCCAAGCAAGCCUCUCAUUCAGCCUCCCGAGUGGCUGGGACCACAGGCGCCACACACAGCUAAUUUUUAUUCAUUUGUUUUUAUUUUUUUUGCAGAGACAGGGUCUCCCUAUGUUGCCCAAGCUGGUCUUGAACUCCUGGGCUCAAGUGAUCCUCCUGCUUCAGCUCCCAAAGUGCUAGGAUUAUAGCCACCGUACCUGGUCUUAAAAUAGCCUUUUAAAUAUCCACCUCAGCAUGCCUCACAGUGGUAGAAACAAGCGGUUUUUGUUUUGUAGGAUCAGGGAGCUUCUAAGGCAUUUGAUAGCUUUUUGAUGGGAAGAAGGGCUCUGAGGAGCUCCAAGAUACCCCCACCUCCAGGCACUUCAUUAGGGGGUAGUUGGGUUUCUUUGACCUUCCCCCUGGGCCCCAUAGGCUUAAACCCCCACCUCCUACCUCAGCUAGGAGCACUAGCUUCCAUGGUGCUUCCACUUUUCUCCUCAACCUGGGGAAGACCACAGGGCAGUGCCUGCCUCAGGACCUGCCUUCCCCAAAAGCUGGCUUCUUGCUCCAAGGAGAGAGCAUUGGCCCACCUGCCAGAGUCUUGCCUUUUGCCCAGAGGAGCCUGGUCUUCAAGGCUGCAUAGGAGACUAGUGCUUUCUCUGCUUCUCACUGUGGGUGGCACUAAUUUCCUCCUUAACCAGAACUUUGUUCCAGCCACUAACCCACUCUAACUCUUCCCCCUCUGACUCUCCUGCCCCAGGUCUGUUCCUGGUUUCCCAGAUGCAUAAAGGAAGACAUAUCCCUCCCCUGGGCAGCAAGGCUACAAUGGGAGGGAGGGAGAACAUGGGAGCAUGUGAAUAAAAUGGCAUUACAUACUGAACCAG